rnacentral:rRNA from 1 species
CCCGCUGAACUUAAGCAUAUCAAUAAGCGGAGGAAAAGAAACUAACAAGGAUUCCCCUAGUAACUGCGAGUGAAGCGGGAAAAGCUCAAAUUUAAAAUCUGGCGGUCUCGCGGCCGUCCGAGUUGUAAUCUGGAGAAGCGUCUAUCCGCGUCGGACCGUGUACAAGUCUUCUGGAAGGGAGCGUCGUAGAGGGUGAGAAUCCCGUCUUUGACACGGACAACCGAUGCUUUUGUGAUGCGCUCUCGAAGAGUCGAGUUGUUUGGGAAUGCAGCUCAAAAUGGGUGGUAAAUUCCAUCUAAAGCUAAAUAUUGGCGAGAGACCGAUAGCGAACAAGUACCGUGAGGGAAAGAUGAAAAGCACUUUGGAAAGAGAGUUAAACAGUACGUGAAAUUGUUGAAAGGGAAACGUUUGAAGUCAGUCGCGUCGGCCGAGACUCAACCUUGCGCUCGCGCUCGGUGCACUUCUCGGUUGACGGGUCAGCAUCAAUUUUGACCAGUGGAGAAAGGUCAGGGGAAUGUGGCAUCUUCGGAUGUGUUAUAGCCCUUGGUUGCAUACAUUGGUUGGGAUUGAGGAACUCAGCAUGCCGCAAGGCCGGGUAACUAUUACCACGAUCGUGCUUAGGAUGCUGGCAUAAUGGCUUUAAUCGACCCGUCUUGAAACACGG